GAACAGAACUGUACAGAUUAGAAAUAUGAUUACUGAUAUUUUCCAAAGAAAAACUAUUAAUAUAUAGAAGAGGAAAGAAAGAGGCAAUUUGAAAUUUAAAAAUGGUAGGCUUAUUAAGGAUGAGAUACAGAGAAAAACAGUAAUGCAGAACUACAUUCUCUUAAAUUGUCAAAAUUAAACGCUACCAAUCUUGGUCUUGUUUCAAACUUGAAUAACAAAAAGUCUAAAAAUAUAAAAACUAUAAGAACAGAUCAGCUAAGUCCAGUUAUAAAAUUAAAUGAUUCAGGAAAGCUAUCAUUUUAGGAAAGUGUUGUUUUGGGGUGUGUAAACUCAUGAGGUUACAUGUUUCUGGUGAAUCUGUGCUUGCUGCAGCAAAAAUUUAUUAAUCGUUUGUGAUAUAAUUCACAAGAUGUCUAUUUUAACCUGUGGGUUGUGGAAUUUGUUUUGUCUGACCAAGAUAUAAUGAAUACCACUAGUGACAUGAGCAUGUCCAAUUAAUAUUUAACUAGAAAUAAAUGCAUGCAGCAACCCUUUGCCUAUAUUUUCCAAACAUUGAUUUAACAUGAACUAUUAGCAAUUGGCCAGCACUGAACGCAGGCUCACGUUGUGUCAAGUGUUGUCAAGGCAACAUAAUGUCACAUAUUUUAAAUUUUUUUGAGUAAUUUUGCAAGUGUUCAUACCACAGAAUCUACCAUACAUAAAAACAAAUAGAUAGGUGAAGUAAUUCAAACAAAAUGAUUUGGAACUUUAAUACUCUACUCUGUCGAACGCCUAUUCUACUCGUAAAGGGGAGAGAUCG